UACGUAGGUGACCAGCGUUGUCCGGAUUUACUGGGCGUAAAGGGCUCGUAGGCGGCCAACUAAGUCAGACGUGAAAUCCCCAGGCUCAACCUGGGAACUGCGUCUGAUACUGGAUGGCUUGAAUUCGGGAGAGGGAUGCAGAAUUCCAGGUGUAGCGGUGAAAUGCGUAGAUAUCUGGAGGAAUACCGGUGGCGAAGGCGGCAUCCUGGACCGACAUUGACGCUGAUGAGCGAAAGCUAGGGGAGCAAACGGG
rnacentral:rRNA from 1 species